rnacentral:rRNA from 1 species
AUGCGCCUGUUGGCCCAAUCUCCGACCAUACAACUCUCGCAAAUUAAUGUUUCGGUCAAAACAAUGUGUUUUUUUUUGGAUAUAGCACUCAACACAAGGGGGUCAAGUGUCUUGAUGUUUCUACCGGUCGAGUAUACAUAUCUCGUGAUGUUGUGUUCGACGAAACUAAAUUCCCCUUCUCUGAUCUACAUCCAAAUGUCGGCGCUUUACUUCGGAAAGAAAUUCUACUUCUUCCUCCUACUCUAA